rnacentral:rRNA from 1 species
CAGUCGCCACGGUAAUACGGAGGGUGCAAGCGUUAAUCGGAAUUACUGGGCGUAAAGCGCACGCAGGCGGUUUGUUAAGUCAGAUGUGAAAUCCCCGAGCUUAACUUGGGAACUGCAUUUGAAACUGGCAAGCUAGAGUCUUGUAGAGGGGGGUAGAAUUCCAGGUGUAGCGGUGAAAUGCGUAGAGGUCUGGAGGAAUACCGGUGGCGAAGGCGGCCCCCUGGACAAAGACUGACGCUCAGGUGCGAAAGCGUGGGGAGCAAACAGGAUUAGAUACCCCUGUAGUCCCUGUCUCUUAUCC